CGUCUUGCUCGGGAUGGUGGUGGCAACAGAGAUGGUAAUCGUGGCUGGAGCGUUAGGAGGGCGGCCAGAGUGUUUUUCUGGCUUUGCCUGCCCAGCUGCUCCAAGCCAGGCUGGUGAAGGAGGAGUCUCCUGUGGUGAGCUGGAGGUUGGAGCCUGAAGAUGGCACAGCUCUGCAAUUCAUCUGUGGUUGUGGCGGUGACGGUGAUGGAGACUGCAGCUCAACAGGAGCAGUGGGAGGAUACCCAUGGAGGCCAGCCCAGGGUUUCCCAGCUGUCUUUAUCCAGGCCUGAACCGAUGUUCACAGUGGUCCUCAUCUAAACCAGCCACGGAGUUCUCUGUCCUUCACAUGACAGCCAGCCCAGAUGUUCACAGCCGUCCUGAUCGGGCCAGCUAGUUUGUUCACAUGUGUGCUAAUUGGUUCCAGCCACCCUCAUAGAGGCCAUCCCAGUGGCUGAAGACUGACGCUGCCCCAUCGCCUUGGAAGCCUCCUGGACCAUCACAGACGCUUUGGAUAACUCUUACAGUGGAGGGUCGAGUGGAGUGUGGAGUGGCCCACACCCAUGUCAACCAGUGGCUCUGAAUUGUUGAUGGGCAACACCACUAAGGUGCUCACGGCCACUCUGUGUCCUCCCAGUUCCUGCUGAGGAUCCCCUGGAAGGCCUCGCCAGUGAGCUCAGAUGAGGAUGCCCAUGGCAUUUGAAGGUCAGGCCACCUGGUUUUAUCUGAGAGAAAGUUAUUUUCUUAU